rnacentral:rRNA from 1 species
UGGGGAAUAUUGCACAAUGGGCGCAAGCCUGAUGCAGCCAUGCCGCGUGUGUGAAGAAGGCCUUCGGGUUGUAAAGUACUUUCAGCGGGGAGGAAGGGAGUAAAGUUAAUACCUUUGCUCAUUGACGUUACCCGCAGAAGAAGCACCGGCUAACUCCGUGCCAGCAGCCGCGGUAAUACGGAGGGUGCAAGCGUUAAUCGGAAUUACUGGGCGUAAAGCGCACGCAGGCGGUUUGUUAAGUCAGAUGUGAAAUCCCCGGGCUCAACCUGGGAACUGCAUCUGAUACUGGCAAGCUUGAGUCUCGUAGAGGGGGGUAGAAUUCCAGGUGUAGCGGUGAAAUGCGUAGAGAUCUGGAGGAAUACCGGUGGCGAAGGCGGCCCCCUGGACGAAGACUGACGCUCAGGUGCGAAAGCGCGGGGAGCAAACAGG